rnacentral:rRNA from 1 species
UACGUAGGGGGCAGGCGUUGUCCGGAUUUAUUGGGCGUAAAGAGCGUGUAGGCGGCUGGGUAGGUCCGUUGUGAAAACUCGAGGCUCAACCUCGAGACGCCGAUGGAAACCCUCCAGCUAGAGUCCGGAAGAGGAGAGUGGAAUUCCUGGUGUAGCGGUGAAAUGCGCAGAUAUCAGGAAGAACACCCGUGGCUAAGGCGGCUCUCUAGUACGGUACUGACGCUGAGACGCGAAAGCGUGGGGAGCGAACAGG